rnacentral:ncRNA from 2 species
UCAGUUGACUCUGGAGAGAGGUUAGGCGGAUACGUUUAGCCCACCGAAGAGGCAAGAGGGCAAAAGCUCUUAAACUUUCAGGUUUUGGACAGAGGGGCGGCA